GAUGAACGCUGGCGGCGUGCCUAAUACAUGCAAGUCGAGCGAACGGACGAGAAGCUUGCUUCUCUGAUGUUAGCGGCGGACGGGUGAGUAACACGUGGAUAACCUCCCUAUAAGACUGGGAUAACUUCGGGAAACCGGAGCUAAUACCGGAUAAUAUUUUGAACCGCAUGGUUCAAAAGUGAAAGACGGUCUUGCUGUCACUUAUAGAUGGAUCCGCGCUGCAUUAGCUAGUUGGUAAUGUAACGGCUUACCAAGGCAACGAUGCAUAGCCGACCUGAGAGGGUGAUCGGCCACACUGGAACUGAGACACGGUCCAGACUCCUACGGGAGGCAGCAGUAGGGAAUCUUCCGCAAUGGGCGAAAGCCUGACGGAGCAACGCCGCGUGAGUGAUGAAGGUCUUCGGAUCGUAAAACUCUGUUAUUAGGGAAGAACAUAUGUGUAAGUAACUGUGCACAUCUUGACGGUACCUAAUCAGAAAGCCACGGCUAACUACGUG
rnacentral:rRNA from 1 species